AGGUUUUGAAGCAGGACGACCUGGGCAUGAGUAUCUGAAAAAGAUCAGGAGAGCCAUUCUGUGCUAGCAGUGGAGUUUCAAGCUUUCUCGAAUUAUUUGUCAGCCUGUCUCAGCCUUGACCUGAAAGAUCCAGUUUCAGAGCUGGCUAACAGAGUUACAUGGAUACAGAAUGAGAAGGUAGAAUGAACUGUUUGAGCAAUUACAGUAAGAACAAUUUUUCUUCGUAUUUGAGCAGAAAAAAAGCCUUUGAGAAUGUGGGUUUUCUAACUUCUGGCAUAAUUACCUUUGCUCUGACCCAUCAUGAAUAAAGCUUUCUCUCUUUAAACUUCUAUAAACCAUAUUUGAAUCAUAGUCAUAUCAAGGUCAAUUUGGAAUAACUAUAAUGAUGUCUACAGAAUUUCUUUCAUUUUACUCCCAUGUAACUAACUAUAAAUUGUAGGACUGCCUACGAUUUCUCCUUGGAUGUGUUUUUUUCACCAAUUUCUCUAUUUUCAUCUUCAUAUGUACGGGAAGGAGAAGCUGUUUUGUUGUAUUUAAUAGGGCAAGAAAAGAGGAGAAUAAAG